CCCCAUUUCCGGAUGGUUCCGCUGCUAGCCAUCGACCAGACUCUCCUACUAGUCGGUGUGACCCUGACUCUGUGCCGGGUCUGAGGAUGCCCUCCGUCGUCACCCCUUAUAACCUGUUACCCGCGUUCGGACUAGGUCGUUACGGCGCACCCACUUCUUCCGGACGCCCAACAUUUCGGGAAAGCAGGCCCUUCUUUUCGGGUUCCGAUUAUGGGAACCCAGAACUGCAAUGGCCUUCUUCUUCGUGGCCGAUUGAGGCACGGUCGUCGGCGCCAUUAUGCCUCCCACGCUCGCAAUUAGCCUUAAUGACCCGCAUUUCGCGCGCAUCCGCCACCACACUCAGCCCGCACUUUCGGGGCCCGAAUUGGACCCUUAACGCAAGCUAUGGCGUAGCGAUCUCAGACCCUCUCCCUUCCCCUUAAGGCCCACAUCGCCACUUUACGCAUCUAUAGGCCUCCUUGUGGUCACCGCUUCCGCGGAAGGACCGGAUUCUGACUGCGACUCCACGCUUUCGCACCCCUCGUUUGUCCUAAUCUAUGGGACCAUCAGGUGCGGCAUUUGCUACUCUUGAUCGGCAACCCGGGUAAAUGCCCGAAUCACCGCGUCGAUUGCGCAAUUCAGAGGCG
rnacentral:rRNA from 1 species